ACUCAACCUUUGGAAGCACUGUAACCAGCAAUGCUGUUUAAAUGUCAUUUGAAAAAAUUCUGUGAUCGUUUUAUUUGCUAUCAAGGCGGGCAAGUGCGGUCUCCACCACGCUAAUAUGUUUAGCUUCUUCCUACUAUCGGUGGCGUUAUUGCGCAAGCGCAUUCUCACACGGACUGGCUGAUAGUGACCAGGGUUGUUGUUACGAAGUGACGAAUUUUAAAGACUAGCUAAGCAUUUAUUAUCAAAAUAGUAAAUAUUUCACAUUCAACGCGUUUCACUCACUUGGCCCAUGUUGAAUUUCAGUAAAAGGUUUGGAAACCGAUAAUCAAUCGCGGAACUGUUUUGAGGGAUAAAGGUAAAAGAUGUCAUACCACUCGUCUUCUCGUGGCUCUUCUCGUAACACAGACUGCAAGGUCUAUGUUGGAGACUUGGGCAAUGGUGCUGCCAAGGGUGAGCUUGAGCGGGCAUUCAGCUACUAUGGCCCUUUGCGGAGUGUUUGGGUGGCAAGGAACCCUCCUGGUUUUGCCUUUGUGGAGUAUGAAGAUGCCCGUGACGCAGAGGAUGCUGUGAAAGGCAUGGAUGGAAAGGUGCUGUGUGGCUCGCGAAUCCGUGUGGAGCUGUCAACUGGGAUGUCACGAAAGACCAAGCAUGGUCGCCCCAGCCGCCGCCACUUUGACCCUCAAGACCGUUGCUACCAGUGUGGGGACAGGGGCCACUAUGCUUACGACUGCUACCGUUUCAGCAAGAGGGGGGGAGGUCGCCGAAGCAGAUCCCGGUCCCGCUCUCGUUCCAGGUCCCGGUCUGGUGGCCGUCGCUAUAGGUCCCGCUCUCGCAGCAAUGGCCGCAGCAGACACCGCUCACCAUCUUACUCCAAGCGUAGGAACAGGUCUGGCUCCCCUGCACGGUCGAAGUCCAAGACCUCUGUGAGGAGUCAUUCCCGCUCCCGUUCCCGGUCAGCAUCCCGAACCAGAGGGCGCUCGGCAUCCCGCUCCCGUUCCAGGUCCCACUCUCUGAGCCAUAAGAGAAAUAGGUCCCUCUCCUAGAAUGACCUGGCCAGGCCUUGAUUAGCUUCAGGGAGUCGCACAUGAGACCUAUACUUGGAGACAGAGGCUCUGUUUGGGUGCCGGCUGGGGGGGAGCGGGCCUCUUCUCUUUUCUCUUCUCCCUCAGAUCCAGCCUCAAUUUGAUUAGCUUCAGAGGGCGAGUGUCAAAAACCCAAAAGAGAAAUCUGUCGUGAUCAGACUACGGUGACCAAUUGCAGCAGGCCAAUUUUUUAAGAGUGUGGGGGAGUCAACUGACUGCACAAGCACUGACCAGGGUCAUCCUCGCUGUGUUAACAUCCUUCGGGAGGGUGAAAGGGGCUGACCAGAGAUCAGCCGGCGCCACGCUGGUUAAAGAGGUCGUCCGACGCACAUUCGGACGAGACACAUCCAUCCUACGCGCGCGCACACAGUUGUUCUACCCACCCCCCCCUCCCUCCCAGAACCCACGCACCACAGCCCUGAACGCUGAGCUGAGUUCAGUCGACCAGUUAAGGCCCCCCAGCUCCCCACAGAGCUCCAGUCCUCUCGCUUAGCUUCUGAGAGGGUGGGAAAGGAGAGCUGACGAGAGAUCAGACUUCAAGACCCUCCGAGUGUGUCUUCGAGUUCUAGCAUCCGUCGCUUCUCUGUUCAUGUUGUUUCUGCCACUGUCUCCAAAGUCGUUCCAGAUCUCCAAGCCAGAAAAAAAGUCCCACCCCUGGCAACGAUUGAUUGAAGACGAAACACGUUCCCAUCCCCCUCCAACCAACUUCUUUUGGCCUCAUAGCCAUUUCUUUUUCUCUGUUCCCUUCAUUGAUUAAACUGCAUGCCUUACACAAUGUCACAUUCCUAAAAUAGCUCUUGUGUCUGUCCCUUUUUAUAGAGCAAAAUUGUUCAAAUCUUGAAUUACAGUAGAACUCAGAUUUGUGAAUCAAAACCUGUUUGUUUAAUAUCUACUAUAUAUUCUGUGUGGCAUUGUGUUCAAGACCUGUAAUGGCUUUCCUUUAAGUUUAGAUUUUUCCAGGAUGACCGAAGAUUUUGGAAUAAAUCUAAAGACAUGCA